AACGGCCGUACCAUGCUGAAUAUACCGGUUCUCGUUAGAUCAUCGAAGUUAAGCAUCAUUGGGCGCGGUCAGUACUUGGAUGGGUGACCACCUGGGAAUACUGCGUGCCGUU
rnacentral:rRNA from 1 species